AAAUGACAAAUUAAAUAAUGGCAUGGGAAGAAAGCCCAAAUAUAAAAUAUAUAGAGUGUCUGCACAGAAGAGAGAAAAAUAUAUACCAUUCAAUUGGUUAUGCAUAUGGAAAAAAACCACUUGAAUUGGAACCUUAUAUCUUAUACAUAAAAUUCAGUCUCAGGAGUAUUAAACAAUUAAAUUUAAAACAUACAAUUUAAAUCAGUUAGGAAAAAUACAGAAAAAAUGUUAUUAUGAUCUCAGGUAAUACAUUACUUUCUUUUUUGUUUUUUUUCUGAGACAGUCUCGCUCUGUCACCUAGGCUGGAGUACAAUGAUGCUAUCUCGGCUCACUGCAACCUCCGCCUCCAGGAUUCAAGCAAUUCUCCUGCCUCGGCCCCCUGAGUAAAUGGAAUUACAGGCAUCCACAACCACGCCUGGCUAAUUUUUUGUAUUUUUAGUAGAGACAGGGUUACACCAUGUUGGCCAGGCUGGUCUCAAACUCUUGACCUCAAGUGAUCACCCAACUCAGCCUCCUGAAGUGCUGGGAUUACAGGCGUAAGUCACCGUGCCUGGCCAAUAUAUUGCUUUCUUAAACAGAAUAGGGAAGGAUGAAUCAUGAAGAAAAAGAUUGAGAAAUUUGUCUACCAAAUUUAAAAUUAAUUAAAUAUAAACUUUCAAGUUAAAAAAUUUGUUCUCAUCAGUAUUCACCAUUAAACAGGAAAAAUACAAGCCAGAGGUUUGAAGAAGAUAUUAUACACAUGUUAAUAUACACAAUUAACUAGACUUUAUUAAAAACUCAUUUUGAUAACAAGGAAAAGAAUUCAGUAGCAAAUUGAGCCAAAUAACAACAAGUAAUUCAUAGAUGAGGAAAUCCAAAUAAGUAAGUAACUAAAGAAGAGGCUUAGCCUCACAAUGAAUCAAGGAAAUGGAAAUUAAAACCACAACUUUAUUUUCCACCAUCAAGUAGGCAGAAACUUUUUAAAGAUUAACUAUUAGGGCUUUGUAUAGAUGUAAAACAAUGAGAAUCUUUGUGCAUGUCAGAACCAGAGGAUUGGGGUGGGAAACAAAUGAGAUUUUUAUCCUACGUAUAAGCUAACAAGUUAGCCUGCCACAAUAUCAUGAAUAUUAGCAGAAGACUGGAGACUACUUGGUCAGAGAAAAUGACUCAUGACUCAGCAUAAAUCCCAAGCUUUAUUUUAGCAUUGAUCCUCCUUACCUCUGAAGUUCCACAGAAGUACUGCAGAUGUGCCAAGGAGGACGCUGCACAUGCCUUGAUUGUGCGUCACAUCUGAAGGACUCUGAGUUUAAGAAACCUUAGUCUUUAUAACUGAUAGUAACCAAAUGUGUCCAACCAUUGCCCAGAAAGGAGACAUCACAGGACAUCAAACAAACCUCCCCUCUGUUCCAGAAGAAGACACUACAUUCAAAAGACGUUUGCUAUGCUAAUGACUCGAAAAGACAGGUUGUAAUAAAAGGGCAACUGGUGCCUCUGGGCACAAGACACAAAGAAAUAUAAGCAAUCCAUGAAAAAUUGUCUUUCAAACAUGUGUCCUUGAUGAAAAUGCAAAUUGGUAUAAGUUUGGAGAGUAAUUUGCAUUAAAAGCCAUGUUACAAUGAGAACAGAUAAAUUCUUAUACUUGGAAACAAGUAUAUUCAUCGCAUAGAAAAUGGAAAAUGAUCUAUACCUCAAUCGUUUAAGAGGUGAUAAUGAAAUUGUAGACUCUUCAUAAACUGGAAUAUAAAAUAUAGCAUGAAAAAGGAACCUAUGCAACAUACAUCAACAUGGAAAAUUUUCACAAAAUAUUGAACUAAAAUUAAUUUUGAAGUAGAUAUGUUAUAAAAUUUAGUUUUAAACUAUGCAUUUUAAAGAGGAUGUAUAGCUAUGUACAUAUUAAAGAAUAAAGAAAUGAAGAGAAAUAAUAAACACUGAGUUGAAGAUACUGUUUAAAUAGGUUAGGAGAGUGCAAGAGAUGAUGAUGCAGUUGUGAGGGGUAAAGAAAGGACUUCAACUCUACCAGAUACCUACCCAGAAGAAAUCACCAACUUAUAAAGACAACUGCACACCCAUGUUUAUUGCAUCAUUAUUCCUAACAGCCAAGAUAUGGAAACAACCUAAAUGUCCAUGAAUGAAUGAAUGGAUAAAGAAACUGCAAAUUACACAAUUGAAUAUUACCCAGCUUUAAAAAAACAAGGUGAAAGGACACCUCAACCUAAAAAUUAAUUUUGUUAUAGAUUUCAAUCCUGAUAAAUUGGAAUUAAGCAGCUCAGUCAGCAUCUUUCUUCAUCAGAUGCAGGAGGCAAAAAGGGGGAGGGCCCCAGAGAAUCUCCCACCGGCCUACACACUGCAAGAAUGGGUUGGAGCCACGGGAAGUUUGAGCCAUUUGCAGCAGGGAGGAGCUGCGCCUCUUCAGUUCCUGUGCUGUGGCCUGUUAUUCAAUCUGUGAGGUGGGAGCGCUGGCAGGAAUCCUUCUCAUUUUGCUAAGAGUUUUUGUUGUUGUUGUUUUGUUUUUUUCUUUUCGUCCAAUAAAUUCCGUUCCUGUCACCUUUCAAUGUGUCCACAUGCCUAACUUUUCCUGGUUGUGACACAAGAACCCAGAUUUAGCUGAACUAAGGAACAGAAAUUCUGCAACACUAAUCUCCCUUUUAGAAUAUAUUUUAACAGAAAGGGGUAUGGGGUUGUUUCAUGUCAAGAAGCACAUUCUUUUAAUUUUAUUGUUAGGGCAGAAUUAGUCUAGUGUAACCUUUAUAGGUCAGAAUGUAAGAAUGACA
rnacentral:lncRNA from 1 species